CCCUCUCUUUGCCCCUCUCUGGCUUGCUCUUUCUCUCAAAAUAAAUAAAUAAACUUUAAAUAAUUCUGUUCAACCUUGCCUUAUUCAGAACAAUCUUCCAAAAUUUUGCCAAUUCCUGAUCAGCUAGAAACCCUUGUUAAAAUCCCCCACUAAUGAGGUUUAUGUGCACUCACGAGAGCUCUACUUAGUUGGAAUCUGGGUGAGGACAUGCUAGACUGUCUUUCACAUUUCUUUUUUAAAAAUUUUAAACAGGAUUUGCUAAACAACAGUACAGUAUAACAACAAAAGAAACAAGUUAUUUACGGACAGUACUAACAUGGCAACUCACGUUUAGAAGACAUUUUGCAAUUUAUGAAAUGUUUUUAUACCCUUCUCAUUUAGCUUUCACAAUAAUCAUCAAGGAUAUUAUAAUACUCAUUAUCCGUGUAUUGUAGUUAAGGAAAAUAAAGUGGCUCUGGAAGGUUAAGUGUUUGCAAAGUCCCAUAAUUAGUAAGAGAAGUGAGAGCUCAAAGUAUAUCCUUUAAAUCCAAAUUCUGUGCUCUCUCCCAUCAUAUGUUUUAGCAAAAGUACUUUCAUAUAGAAAACUGAAUUUACUCAUGAAGAGUUAACAUUUAAAUUUGAGUGUCAACAGUUCUCCCAAGCGUGAGCAUGACUUCCCUCAUCUACAUUCCUGCCAACCAUGUAAUAGAAAGUACUCAAAAGUCAUAAAAUUGUUUCUUUAAAAUAUUUUAUUCCUCAGUCUUCACUAGAAUUGGUUACAAUGAGAAGGUCUCAUUAAGGUUUGUUUAAUCUGCAUAAAAGAGUUUGUUGACUUAUGCAAAUUUAAAAACCACAACUUAAAAUGUAGAAGACAUUAAAUCAAUAGAACACAUUUAAGGAUGCAGUACAUAUUAAGGAUGCCUAACUUCCUGGGUUAAUGUCACAUUUGAAAGUGUUAACUUCCUCAAUUUUCUCUGUGAAUGAAUUUUUCUUCAGAAGGAAAGAAACCAGUUUUCUCUAGAGAACAUUUGCAAGAGUUUUCAUAACAACAACAAAAAAAUCCAACCUCAAAUUUGUGAUUUGCAAAAGAAUUAUCCAGCAUGAUUUGAGGAAGAAAUAGUCUUAUAAAAUCGAGUUCCGAAAUGGGCCCCAGGGCCAUUCUUGUGUUUUCCCUUUGCUUUAUUUAUAAUCCUACCUAGUCCACUCUUUGUGCCUUUGGCAUUGUUGAGAGUAAAAACCAACUUCCAGUGUACAAUGAAGAGUAACAUGAAACUUCAAAUUCUAAUAUUUCCUAUUUCUACAACACUGUGAUUCUGCUAGUUCCUGCCCUGACAUCUCUCCCUUCCUUUUCAUUUCUGACUCACCCUGCUUUUGUUCCAAGAUCCAUUUCACCACUAGGCAGCUCAAGUGAUACAUGAAAGCUGAAAGCUUCCUGUUGCUCCAGGAUAGCCUUUCUUAAGUCUAAGACAGUGAUUUUCAAAGUGUGAUCCCUGGACCAAAGUUUCAGCAUCACUAGAAACUUAGAAGCACGAAUUACUGUCCCUACCCCACAUCUACUGAAUCAGAAGCUCUGGGAGUGUGGCCCAGCAAUCUGUGUAUAAACAAGUCUUCAGGUGAUGAUGUUGCAUGACUAAAUUUAAAACCAUUGCUGUAAGCCAGUGAUUCUCAGCCCUGAUUGUGUGUUAGAAUCAUCUGAUGUCCAGUUGCCACACUUUCCACUCCGUCCCCCAAAGAUUCUGAUUUAAUUGAUAUAGGGUAGGGUUGAGCAAGGGGAUUUGUUAAAAGCUUUCCAGGUGAUUCCAGUGUAAAGCCAAGUUUGAGAAACAUUGAUGAAAGCCAAUCAGAAUAAUCUAGCCUGAAAUACUGAAUCGCAGUUUUGAUGAAACGGAUGUAUCCAUUUCCAUAAGGCUGAAUGAAUACCAAAUGUGUUAUUACCAUUAUUAUAGCCACUGGUGGUAGCAUGAGAGAAAUGCAGGCUAAUAAAUUGCUCUUAGCUACUAAAUAGGACAUGCUGUUUUAUUUCAACAAGAGCAGAAUCUUUAGUAGCCUCAAGAGUGACAGAUUUGCAAGGGGUGGUAGACAGAUAGCCCAACAGCUACUGGCAGUGAAGGCACGCUCAACUGGUAUGUUUUGUAUGGGAAGGGGUAAAAAUCAUUUGGAAAAGAAUUUGUGGUAAGCCAGGAUUUGAACCCAAGCAGUCUUAAUCCAGAAUCCAAACCCUUAACCAUGGUUGCCACACGGUUCCUGUCUGUGGAUAUUAUGAACAAGCAGUAAAAGGCAAGGGAAGACACCUUCAGUGGCAGUGGAGGAGAUGAACAUCUUUCAUUUCAUAUGUGUCCAUACUGCAGUAUGUUUAUGACUGCUUGUUAAAUCUAGAAGAGCCUACGUUUCUGGACUCAAUACUUGUUUGGAUCUAAACUGACCUAAACUUACGAUUUAUAUCAACUCUCCCUCCUCAAUCUUAGGGAAAAAUUUCCUCUCACUUAUCAGGAGAAACAAACCAUGAAGACAGAACACAUGAGUCAACUUCAGUUAAUUCAGUAUAUGCAAGAUAUUCAACAGCAAGCAAGAUAUAUCAAUAAUAAUACAGAGUGUGAUUCAAGAAAUACAAAUGCCUGAUUAUAGAGCAACACUUAACUUACUAAAUAUAACCACUCCUUGACUCUACCUGAACAACUUUAAUUUGAAUAGAUAUUGGUAUGUAAAAACUUACUUUCAUAAGCUCAUAAUAAUUAUCUUGGUAUUGUUAACCAAGUAGCAAAGUAUCUAGCACUUAGGCAAAGAUCAAAUCUGCUAACUCAGGACUCAGUGCCUCCCCAGCAGUGUCAUGUUCUUAAAGGUUUUUGAUGAUGUUCCUUACUUUCCAUUAUUCUUUUUUUUUUUAAUAUAAAAUUGUGAUAUGGCUUGGGAAAAGCAGUCUUGAUCAUGUCAACUCCUUCCUCUGUAGAAUGUGACUAAUGAUAAUUAAUGUCCCUCUUGCCUUAAUAGAUAUCCUAAGGAUCAAAUUCUGUGAAAAUGUUUGGUGAAUCAUAAAGUCCCAUGUAAAUGUUACAGUAGAGAUCCUGGUUAGGUUGUACCUCUCUCUUGGAGACAGAAGACCUGGUCACUUAAAAUGUUGCAAUUAGAAAUGUUCAUGUAGCAGAGAAGAAGUAAUGAAGAGCCAAAUGAAAAGCUCUGAUAUGUGAUGUGUAAACUGACUUGAAAUAACAAGUUCAUACAGAAUAAGGAAGAACAGCCAGGAAAAUCCUGGAAAACAACAACACAAAAACCCAAUAAGUGCCUGAAAAAUAUCUUUAGAAAUUGAAUUUUGGAACCUAAGAAUAUGUGUAUUUCCUUUGGGAAGCAGCCAUUUGUCCUAAAAGAUGUGCCAAGUUUUUACAAUGGAAAGGGAGGGAAGGCCAUAUGAAACAGGCAAACUCUUAUCACCAUGUUUUACAUGUGGAGAGAAGAUUUAAAUAAUGCUGCAUGCUAUGAACAAGCAAUACAUUUCAGUAUGUGAAAUUAUUCCUAAUAUCAUAGUCCUUGCUAAAUUUUAAUUUUGAUCUCAAGAACAGUCUUUUUUCCCUGUCAUUCUUUGUCCUGAGCUUCUCCCAUCCAACUUCAAUCCACAUAAAGACUUCUGGAAUUCUUGA